rnacentral:rRNA from 1 species
GAUGAACGCUGGCGGCGUGCUUAACACAUGCAAGUCGAACGAUGAAGCCCAGCUUGCUGGGUGGAUUAGUGGCGAACGGGUGAGUAACACGUGAGUAACCUGCCCUUGACUCUGGGAUAAGCCUGGGAAACUGGGUCUAAUACUGGAUAUGACUUCUCAUCGCAUGGUGGGGGGUGGAAAGAUUUAUUGGUCUUGGAUGGACUCGCGGCUUAUCAGCUUGUUGGUGAGGUAAUGGCUCACCAAGGCGACGACGGGUAGCCGGCCUGAGAGGGUGACCGGCCACACUGGGACUGAGACACGGCCCAGACUCCUACGGGAGGCAGCAGUGGGGAAUAUUGCACAAUGGGCGCAAGCCUGAUGCAGCGACGCCGCGUGAGGGAUGACGGCCUUCGGGUUGUAAACCUCUUUCAGUAGGGAAGAAGCGAGAGUGACGGUACCUGCAGAAGAAGCGCCGGCUAACUACGUG